rnacentral:tRNA from 1 species
GGUCUCGUGGCCCAAUGGCAAGGCGUCUGACUACGAUACGGAACACACAACCGUCCGGAAAUCAGGAGAUUGUCGGUUCGAUCCCGGCCGAGAUCA